rnacentral:SRP_RNA from 1 species
GCCGGGCGUGGUGGCACGCGCCUGCAGUCCCAGCUACUCGGGAGGCUGAGGCAGGAGAAUCGCUUGAACCCAGGAGGCAGGGGUUGCAGUGAGCUGAGAUCGUGCCACUGCACUCCAGCCUGGGUGACAGAGCGAGACUCUGUCUCAG